CUAUGUUGGCCAGGGUGCUUAGCGGACAGAAGGGUGAUUAAGGUUGGACGCUGACCGUGUGUCCAAAGAGAUAGAAACAGAAGACCCGGAUCCCAGCACUGAGUACACCAUCCCCAUGACCACAAAGAAGCAAGGCCACUCAUCAAAUGAUAAACUUCUAAACCUGUCACCUUCUUGGAAUGUAAAAAUGGCUCCCUGACAGAACAGUGAUUGACCGGCUUUCCUACCAAGUGCCAGAUUCCUGGUGGGGGCAGCUGCAGGAGCCAGGGCAUCACGGAGAACAACAGAGCACAAGGACCACAAGGACCAGGAGGAACCCGAUGCAAAGGGGGAGGAGCACUGAUCAGGAGAAGGCUCGGGAUACUGCACCCUCCACAUUCCAGAGGCAGGAUUUUUAACUGAUGCUGGGUGUACUUUAAUUACAAGCCCGGGUGAGGCCCAUGUCAAUCUCGGUGCUAAAAUACAGUAUGUGAUUCUGAGCAAACUAUGCCAGAAGACCUUUAGAUUCAAAGAUCCUUCAAGACCAAGUCUGAAAAGUAGGACUGAAGCCCACAGCCAGGCAGGAGCUUUCCAAUGGGAUUCCUUUGAGCAUCCCUCUGGGCACCACAGCUGGAAAGUGAGAAGCCAUCCAAAGUUCUAUGGCUGAGUACCCAAUCAGCCUUGGGCAAGUUCCUUAGCCUCCUCAUAAUAAAUGUUAGCUUACCUGACAUGUAGGCAAAGCAUCUGGUCGUUGUAAAAAUUAAUACAUGAAUUCACAGAAAGUGCUUAUAACAGUUCCUGG